AGGCCAGAAGGUGCAUGGGGAGCAGUGGUUUCAUAUAUUCCCUUGUGAUUUGGGCAUUUGGUGAGAUCAGUGAUCUCCUGAUUAACAGGAGCACCACUGGAGCAACAUCGCAGGGUGGGUGUUUCGCCGACCAGCAGUGCCCACUGCCCAGGACAUGCCGCUGGCCGCAUGAUCUCUUCUGCCAUCAUGCCACGGUCAAGUAUAAGUUCUCUUUUUGUCAGUUUUUUCUGCAUUUCAGAUGAAGUAUCAGCAAUAGCUGAAGGCCAUAUGAAGCAGGUCGACUAGCUGACGACGACAAGGAUCAGUAGAACCAGAGGAUGACGCUUGACAUCAACAGCUGGUCUGGACAAGGAAAUGGGUCUUCAUAGGGACAAGGAGCUUUCUCUGUAUCUCUCAUUUUUAUGACGAUGUAUGGUUGUGACUGGCGUAAAACUAUUGUAUUUAGGAUGCUCACGAAUAAGAUAAACCGGUUGUAGCCAAGUUAUUAUACUUACAUUUCCAAUUACUAGUUUAUGCCAGCA